UNCAGGAUCUCUACUGUCUUAGGACCACUGC
rnacentral:piRNA from 1 species